GAGCUAUGAUCACACCACUGUACUCCAGCCUGGGCAAUAGAGCAAGACCCUGUCUCAAAAAUAUAUAUAUACAAAGGGACUAAUAGGAGAGAACCUCAGUCUCCUGGGGCUCUUUGCCUUGUAACUCUCUAGGACAGAAAUACUCCCCUAUCUUUGGGGGUCCAGACAUCUCAGUAGAUUGUGAGGAACUUUUGGUGAAUCUGCAUUAUGAGGUAGCCAUGCCUCAUGGGCAGGGGCUCUGGUGACUCAGUUACCCACCAUUCAUUAUAAAGUUUUACAGUACCAAAGGAGCCUCAUUCCCCUCAGAGCAGAACCCCAACAACCAACGAAACUGCUCCACACCAAGGAGAGAUGAGGGCCCACAGCCAGGCCAAGGAAUCUGGAUUGCUACCUGCCUUACGGUUGUAGAGAGAAUGUAGUACGGCCAGAUUCUAUAUAAGGGUCCAGAGAAGACACAAGUUGAUGCCUCACUUGAUCAAUUCUUUAAGGUAUGGAUAUAAAACAAGAUUCAUGGCACAAGCCAAUGCCAACUCAUUGGUAGUCAUAUAUAAUUUUAAACUUUGAAAGUUAACAUAAAAGACACAAACAUAUGCAUGUGUGUAAUGUAAUCAGAGAAUAUUUUAGGAAAAUAAAAGCCACUGAUAACCCUACAUGCCUAGACGAUCCUUACUAACAUUUUGGUAUACAUAACCUUCCAUGUUUAUACAUGCACUUCUGGUUUUUGUCAUGAACAUGCAUUCAUUCCUUCAUUCUAUCUUCUCCAAAUAUCCACUGAGGGUCUACUACAUGCUAAGCUCUGUUCCAGCACUGAGAAUACAUCAAUUAAUUAAGACCGAAGUUCCUCUCCUCAUGAAGCUUACGAAUGAAGAUUAUACUUUCAGAUACUAAUCAAUUCUUUGAAAAGCAGAAAGGGAUAAAACGUGAUGAGAUCUGGAGAGGACUACUUCAGACUGGAGCUCUAAGGAGACAAUAGAGUUCCAUGACAAAGAUUCCAGAUCACAUCCAGACUCCUUGAGAAACAGUGCUGCGGUCUAGUAAAGCCAGUUCCGGGCAUGGGAGAGGGAAGCAGGAAGCCUGCUGGUACACAUCUCUGCUACACAAGCUACUGUCCCCACUACGAACUUAUAGUGGACUACAUAGAAAAAUAGAGCCCAAUCAGUGUAAGAGUUAGAAAACCCACUCCAAAAUGGUUUCUGACUACAGCAGGCACCGAUAUUUUGCCAAAUCUCCAAACACAAAACUCUCAUUAAACGGGCAUGUAUCCUUGACACCUAGGAAUUUGUAUCCAAGAUCUAGGCAAGUACUGCCACCUUAUGGGUAAGAUCCUUCAUUGCUAAUUUAGCACUUGGGUUGGGCCAAGAAUAAUAAUCUGCCUCCAAACCAAGAGGUUGUUUUCAUACUUUGUACAUUCAGGUUUACUGUGAGAGUAUCCCUCUUUCAGGGUGUGGAAGUUUUCUGAAUAGGAAUGGUGAUGAAUGUAUUCAUUCUACAAAUAAAUAUUAUUUACUUAUUUACACCAGGAAUUGUACUAGGAAUUAGGGAUACAGUGGUUGAAAAAAAUAUAGCUUUUCGCUUUAGGAGCUUACAGACUAUGGGAGGUCACAGAUAUUAAAAUAAAAGUUACAAAUGGACAAAUACUAUGAAAAAUAACUACAAGAUGCCAUGAGAGAGUGCACUGGGAAAAAUGAAUUUCGAUUGACAGGAAAGGUCUCUUUGAGGAAGUGUCAUGAAAAUUGAGAACUAAACUUGAGUAAAAGCCAGACUGAGGAACAGAGUGAGUGUAAGAGAGCUCCCUGAAGAUAGUUUGCUUGUAAAAAGGCCCAAGGACAGAAAAGAACUCGGUGGGUUGCAAAACACUGAAAGACCAUGUUGCUGGAGUAUAAUGAGCAAAGAACAGUAUCAGAUGAGAGGAAAAGGUAAGAAGGGGCCAACUCAUGCAGGAACCUAAGGGCAUUUUUAAGGCACUGGUUUUCCUCCACAUGAACUGGAAGUGGCAGCCACUGAAAGAGUUUGAGGAAGGAGUGAUAUGAUUUUAUUUACCUUUUAGGAUCAUUAUUGUUGUGUGGAGAAUGGAUUAAGUGGCAGGCAGGUAUGGCAAGUAAUUUGAAAGCUACUGCAUGGACUGGGUAAGAGAGGGUGGUGGUUUCGUCUAAAGUGAUGAGUGUGGAAGAGAGAAGGGAAUGGAAUUAAGGAAUAUUUGAAGAGGUAGAAAUGGCAGGACUUGGUGAUGAACUGAAUGAGGUAAAUGAAAACAUUAUCUAUUAGAAAACAUGGAUGUGAAAAAUAUCACUGAUUGAUCAAUUCAGACCUGGGCCAUAUGUUGGGAAAGACGAAACAAAGCAGCACAGUGUCACAACCAAAGGGGGUUUCAGGGGAAAACUAGUUCACUUCCCUUUGAUUUAAAUUUUGAAAAUCAUAUAAAAGACAUAGACAUAUGCAUAUGUGUAAUGUUAUCAGAGAAUAUUUUAGGAAGAUAAAAACCAUCGAUAAUCCUACAUGCCUAGAUGAUCCUUACUAACAUUUUGGUACACGCAACCUUCCAUGCUUAUACAUGCACUUCUGGUUUUGUCAUGAACAUGCAUUCAUUCCUUCAUUCUAUCUUCUCCAAAUAUCUACUGAGGGUCUACUACAUGCUAAGCUCUGUUUCAGCACUGAGAAUACAUCAAUUAAUUAAGACCAAAAUUCCUGUCCUCAUGAAGCUUAUAAAUGAAAAUUAUACUUUCAGAUACUAAUCAAUUCUUUGAAAAGCAGAAAGGGAUAGAACGUGAUGAGAUCUGGAGAGGACUACUUCAGACUGGAGCUCUAAGGAGACAGUAUGUGAGCCGAGAUCUGAAGUGGGGUAUGUGCCAUGUGAAGGUGCAAGGGAAGAGCAUUCUAGGAGAGGAAGGAAACAGCAAAUGUCAAUACCCUGAGCUGGUACAUGACCCUGGCAAGUUCUAGAAAAAUAAGAAGCAACUUGGAAUCACACCUCUAUGUUCUAUAAAAUGUUUUUCCAGUUAAUAUAUCAUGAACAUUUCCCUA